CCUACGGGAGGCUGCAGUCGAGAAUCAUUCACAAUGGGGGAAACCCUGAUGGUGCGACGCCGCGUGGGGGAAUGAAGGUCUUCGGAUUGUAAACCCCUGUCAUGUGGGAGCAAAUUAAAAAGAUCGUACCACACGAGGAAGAGACGGCUAACUCUGUGCCAGCAGCCGCGGUAAUACAGAGGUCUCAAGCGUUGUUCGGAAUCACUGGGCGUAAAGCGUGCGUAGGCUGUUUCGUAAGUCGUGUGUGAAAGGCGCGGGCUCAACCCGCGGACGGCACAUGAUACUGCGAGACUAGAGUAAUGGAGGGGGAACCGGAAUUCUCGGUGUAGCAGUGAAAUGCGUAGAUAUCGAGAGGAACACUCGGGGCGAAGGCGGGUUCCUGGACAUUAACUGACGCUGAGGCACGAAGGCCAGGGGAGCGAAAGGGAUUAGAUACCCGUGUAGUC
rnacentral:rRNA from 1 species